CAGCGAACAGCAGAACAGCUAACAAAAGGAGUUUGCCUGGGAUCUGCCUGAGAGGAGGUACGCUAAGGGCUGCAUUAAGGAGGCUGUGUUGGACAGAUGCGACUUUGUCUGUACAAAGUGCAAGCUGGUCUCCAUACUGGAAGAGAAGGUUCAAGGUCUGGAGCAACAGGUAUCGACCCUGCGUUGCAUAAGAGAAACUGAAGAUUUUCUGGACGGAUGUCAGGAUAGGCUUCUAUGGGCACAAAGUUCUGAAGAUUCAGAGCAGGCUGCACACUGGGGACAGAAGGAUGGUGAAGAAGUUUGGCAUCAUGUGACCUCCAGAAGGAAAAAGGGGAACGUCCAUGUACCAGCAGGGCAGAUACAGGACUGUUGUCAUAUAUGCUAACAACUGACUGGACUGCAAAUGGAUUCCUUGAGUAGGACAGGGGAUUUUGGAAUUCUUGCCGUCAGACACUUGAAAAAGGACCUGAUUUUCAGAGGAAAGAUGCUCAAUGGAGACCCUACAACUGGAGAGCGUCACUCUCUGCUGCUCCUACUGCUAGAUGGUUAGACAACAAGGCCAUGCAACAGAGGCAGGUUUGUCCUGAUGGCCUGGCUCUGUGAUCCCAGGCUUAGUCGUGGCUGAUGAGUGAGUUGAAAUACACAGGAGGGUCGGAAUGACCUUACUUUGCCACUGGUGCUGCAGGAUAGGGCUAAAGAAGCUGAAAGUUACCAUUGAAGAUGUACCAUCUUGAAACCCUUGCUUCCUUUUUAUGCUCUGCAGCCAGCAAGAAACCGGCAGGUGGCUAUGUAUUUUGGAGAGAGGGAAAUAAAAGAAAGCUACUGAA